rnacentral:rRNA from 1 species
CACUAGCGUAUAUUAAAGUUGUUGCAGUUAAAAAGCUCGUAGUUGGAUUUCUGACAUGGUGCGCCUGGUCCGCCCCGUAAAGGUGUGUGAGUACCGGUGUGCGCCUGUCAUCCUUCCACAGAGCGCGUCUACCCUUCAUUGGGCCGGGCGUCGCAAUGUGGAUCGUUUACUUUGAAAAAUUAGAGUGUUCAAAGCAGGCUUACGCUGUGAAUACAUUAGCAUGGAAUAAUAAGAUAGGACUUUGGUUCUAUUUUGUUGGUUUCUAGGACUAAAGUAAUGAUUGAUAGGGAUAGUUGGGGGUGCUAGUAUUCAACGGCCAGAGGUGAAAUUCUUGGAUUCGUUGAAGACUAACUUAUGCGAAAGCAUUCACCAAGGAUGUCUUCUUUUAAACUACGAAA